rnacentral:lncRNA from 1 species
AACAGCCCGAAAAUCCGGACCGCUACCGGCGCUAGGAUCCAGAUCGGCAUAAGGCCGCCGGGAACCGUAGCAAGCCUGACAUAACCUGUAAUCCUGCUUAAUCCCAUACAUGAUCAACAGUACUCAUAAACCUGUAAACAUUCUCAUAAAACAACCAAGCUCAACCUGUACAUAAACAUAAACAUAACAUAAACCUCCACUGGAGCCCUCAUCAAAUGCUCCAAUGGGGUAUCUCAUCAUACAUAAGCUUGGUUGAACAUAGCCUCGUAUCUCAUAUCAUAAAGACCAUGUACAUACAAGUGGGAUUAACAAUCUGUAUUGGUCAAGCACAAC